rnacentral:misc_RNA from 1 species
AAGUCAUAACAAGGUUUCCGUAGGUGAACCUGUGGAAGGAUCAUUAUCGAACGAAUGAAGUGCACAGUUGCUGCUGGUCGUCCGCGCAACAACAUGCAUGCUGCCAUUUCUCUUUCAUCCAUCCACCCCUUCCAUGCACUUUGCAUGGGCUGCGAUUCUCGCGGUCUAUGACUUACACACUCCGAAACCUGCAAAUGAAUGCAUUGAUCGAGCAUUUCAUCUCAAUAUAAUCUAAUACAACUUCAACAACAGAUCUCUUGGCUCUU